CUUAAAGCCUUGUUGUUUUUAUGUGGUGGGAAUAUCAUUCAUUGUUAUUGUGGCGUACAGAAUAUUCGGGAUAUUGAGGGAGUAAGAUAUAAUUUGCCUUUUACUAGAAUUAUUCUUAAUAUUUCCAAUAUAGCAUUGUGUGGAUUUCCUUUUUUGGUUAAAUUUUAUUCAAAAGAUUUUAUUAUUGAAGUUUGUUUAGUAGGGUGAUCGCAAGAG